UACGAAGGGGGCUAGCGUUGCUCGGAAUCACUGGGCGUAAAGGGCGCGUAGGCGGCCCGCUAAGUCGAACGUGAAAUCCCCGAGCUCAACUCGGGAACUGCGUCCGAUACUGGCGGGCUUGAAUCCGGGAGAGGGAUGCGGAAUUCCAGGUGUAGCGGUGAAAUGCGUAGAUAUCUGGAGGAACACCGGUGGCGAAGGCGGCAUCCUGGACCGGCAUUGACGCUGAGGCGCGAAAGCUAGAGGAGCAAACGGG
rnacentral:rRNA from 1 species